UAAACGUCCCAGUUCGGAUUGUAGUCUGCAACCCGACUACAUGAAGCUGGAGUUACUAGUAAUCGCAGAUCAGAAUGCUGCGGUGAAUGCGUUCCCGGGUCUUGUACACACCGCCCGUCACACCACGGAAGUUGGGGGCGCCCGAAGCCACUUAGCUAACCCUUUUGGGAAGCGAGUGUCGAAGGUGAAAUCAAUAACUGGGGUGAAGUCGUAACAAGGUAUC
rnacentral:rRNA from 1 species